GCCUGUUAGCUAGCUAACAUCAACAAAGCUGUUUUGCCAGAUGGCCACGUAGAGAUCCCAUUAGCUAAUAUCUAAUUAUAUGUAGCUUGCUAACUAGGAGGAAGACCUAACGUUGAAUUGCAUAUUUAAAAUUAUGUCGGGCAGAAAUGAGUGUUUGGAUUAGGAACGUUUCCUCUCACGACCUCUACAAGUCAGAAUGCUGAAGUGGUACUUUACCGGUUGUCCGUGUGCUUGGUCCUUUUUGCAGGAUAUACAUUGGGAGAUGUCUCAGCACCUUCUGAUGCUGAUGCUGCGUUCUGACACCAGUCACCCCUGUUGUGACUCAUACAACUGGCAUGCCUUCAAAUGGGACAACUUCGGAAUCAUACAGCUGGCAUGCCUUCAAAUGGGACAACUUCAGAAUCAAGGGAGAAGGGGUUGUUGUAGCAUUCUCCAUUUUAGCUGAUUGCCUCAAAUCUUAUCUUCUUCACCUUGGUGAAUACUUUGUACUGCUUCUUUCUCCCAGAAAUGCCUUGAAUCAGGAACUGCUUGUGCUGCCUUGUUCCUCGCAGUAUUUAGAAUGUUGUUUUAUAUCGAUGGCUGAUUAUCGGCAUUCAUGUUUAUCUCAUUUUCUUUUGCAUGUCGAGUUUGUGGUUUGCCUGAUUGUUAUGCUCAAGGGAAUGAUUCAUGUGAAUGAAAAUGAAUUGUGAAAUAUUUCCUUCACUAAUUUUCUUUGAGAACUUGAUCGCUUUGCUACUUACAUUGUACUUUUUCAGUACUCAUUUAUGUUUGUUAUUUAGCAGACACUCUUAGCCAGAGUGACUUACAGGAGCAAUUUGGGUUAAGUGCCUUGCUCAAGGGCACAUUGACAGAUUUUUCACCUAGUCUCGGGAUUUGAACCAGCAAAGGUCUUAACCGCUAGGCUACCUGCUGCAUUUGAAAUCAUGCCAUAAUUUUCUCUGAACACUGCAACUUACUGAAUAGACAUCUACAGUAUACCAUCAGACUCACUUCACCUGUUUAAAUGAAUGGAGGCAUAAUGCAGAUGAACAUGAUUUUAUUUUAUUUAACUUUGGUCAACAUAAACAAGUGAAUACAUUGCCACCAUGUUAAUUAUUAAACAGAGAAAUGCUUUAUUA